UACUAUCCAGAAAAAAAGCAACAUGGUUACAGAUGCACUUAGUAGGAAGAGUACUUGCACUCUUACCUAUAUAAUGACCUCAGAGUGGAGACUCAUAGAGGAGUUCUAAAAGUUGAACCUGAAUGUCCGAUAUAAGAUAUCAGAAGGAUACCUAAUAAAAGUAAAAUCCAUUCUGGUGCAGAAAAUUAGAGAAACUAGUAGUAUGAUCUUACCUUGAAGUCAAUUAUGAAAUAUGUCAGUAAGGGAUUUAGGCUAGAAUUUAGAUUAUCAUAAGACGGUGAAUUGAGGUUUAGAAACAGAGUAUGUAUGUUGAAUAAUAACAGUAUAAAAAAAUGAGAUAUUAGAAGAAGCACAUUGCUCUAAAUUUGUUAUUCACCCUGAGA
rnacentral:lncRNA from 1 species